AGUGAACGCUGGCGGUAGGCCUAACACAUGCAAGUCGAACGGCAGCACAGUAAGAGCUUGCUCUUACGGGUGGCGAGUGGCGGACGGGUGAGGAAUACAUCGGAAUCUACUUUUUCGUGGGGGAUAACGUAGGGAAACUUACGCUAAUACCGCAUACGACCUACGGGUGAAAGCAGGGGAUCUUCGGACCUUGCGCGAUUGAAUGAGCCGAUGUCGGAUUAGCUAGUUGGCGGGGUAAAGGCCCACCAAGGCGACGAUCCGUAGCUGGUCUGAGAGGAUGAUCAGCCACACUGGAACUGAGACACGGUCCAGACUCCUACGGGAGGCAGCAGUGGGGAAUAUUGGACAAUGGGCGCAAGCCUGAUCCAGCCAUACCGCGUGGGUGAAGAAGGCCUUCGGGUUGUAAAGCCCUUUUGUUGGGAAAGAAAAGCAGCAGGUUAAUACCCCGCUGUCCUAACGGUACCCAAAGAAUAAGCACCGGCUAACUUCGUG
rnacentral:rRNA from 1 species